rnacentral:rRNA from 1 species
CACGUAGGGGGCAAGCGUUGUCCGGAUUUAUUGGGCGUAAAGAGCUCGUAGGCGGUUCGGUAAGUCGGGUGUGAAACCUCCAGGCUCAACCUGGAGACGCCACCCGAUACUGCUGUGGCUCGAGUCCGGUAGGGGAGCGUGGAAUUCCUGGUGUAGCGGUGAAAUGCGCAGAUAUCAGGAGGAACACCAGCGGCGAAGGCGGCGCUCUGGGCCGGUACUGACGCUGAGGAGCGAAAGCGUGGGGAGCGAACAGG